rnacentral:rRNA from 1 species
GAUGAACGCUAGCUACAGGCUUAACACAUGCAAGUCGCGGGGCAGCAUGAAUUUAGCUUGCUAAAUUUGAUGGCGACCGGCGCACGGGUGAGUAACGCGUAUCCAACCUUCCCCUGUCCACGGGAUAGCCCGUCGAAAGGCGGAUUAAUACCGUAUGAGGUCACACGAUGGCAUCAGACUGUGACGAAAGGUUUAGCGGACAGGGAUGGGGAUGCGUCCGAUUAGGUAGUCGGCGGGGUAACGGCCCACCGAGCCGACGAUCGGUAGGGGUUCUGAGAGGAAGGUCCCCCACAUUGGAACUGAGACACGGUCCAAACUCCUACGGGAGGCAGCAGUGAGGAAUAUUGGUCAAUGGACGCAAGUCUGAACCAGCCAAGUAGCGUGCAGGAUGACGGCCCUAUGGGUUGUAAACUGCUUUUAUGCGGGGAUAAAGUGUGGGACGUGUCCCAUAUUGUAGGUACCGCAUGAAUAAGGACCGGCUAAUUCCGUG